rnacentral:rRNA from 1 species
UACGUAGGGUGCAAGCGUUGUCCGGAAUUAUUGGGCGUAAAGAGCUCGUAGGCGGUCUGUCGCGUCUGCUGUGAAAACUCAGGGCUUAACCCUGAGCUUGCAGUGGGUACGGGCAGACUAGAGUGCGGUAGGGGAGACUGGAAUUCCUGGUGUAGCGGUGAAAUGCGCAGAUAUCAGGAGGAACACCGGUGGCGAAGGCGGGGUCUCUGGGCCGUAAACUG